UCUGCAUUCAGUGAUAUGAAACAUGCAAGCAGUGUGGUGGCCACGCCUUCCCUUUCCUCAGUCCUUUCCUUCUACCCACGGAGGUCCAGCCUGUCAAUCACAUAGAAGCUCCGCCCCUCCAGGCUGGAACGAGGAGCUGCUCUGCUGCCUACCCUCUUGCAGCCUGACCGGAUGAUGCAGCGGAGAGAUGUAGGCUUAAAGCCUCCAGUCUGAGGAAUGUUUUGGCACCCAUGCUGUGUCGGCCGUACGAGCAUGUACCGUACUGCAGCUUGACAAUCACGCUGGGGAUUUAUUCAUUUAUAUCAUUUUGCUUUUCUGUUUGGAUUUUUCAGCUGAAUAAACAAUGGGCAAUUUGAAUUCAAAACCCCAACAUAAAAGACUGUCGAUGCAGGCUCUGCUCCUGCCAUGUGUUUGAAACCGGUGCCAAAUGUAUUUCGGAUGCAGAGCAGAGUCUAAUUCUGUGUCAGCUACAUUGUUCCAUUCAACUACAGGCUUCUUUAUACAAACUUCUCAGAAUUGAGUUUAAUGUAAAAGAUGCAUAAAGGGAUAUGUAAAACCACACAGUGAGGAAUAAAGUAAACUAUAACUAUA